UCAGACUGAUGCCUGCAGCCCGGAGCUCAGUGCCAAUGAGAGGGGCAGACGGGCAUGAUCUCAGGAUGGAUCCCACAGAGCUCUGCACUGGAGGUUGGGGGGCAGUGCAGGCAGCAGGGGUGUCUUUGGAAGGCUCAUGAAAUGAUGCUGAAAUGAGGCUCAGAGAAGAGGAGGCUGCACACCUAAGGGCUAUGGAAGAAAAAGAGAGAGAGUGAAAACACCAACUGGACAUGCUAGAGAAGCAGAACGAGAACCCCCUGACCCCAACGAC